UACGUAGGUGGCAAGCGUUUGUCCGGAUUUAUUGGGUUUAAAGGGUGCGUAGGCGGCUUUAUAAGUCAGUGCUGAAAUAUCCCGGCUUAACCGGGAGGGUGGCAUUGAUACUGCAGAGCUUGAGUGAAGUCGAGGUAGGCGGAAUUGACGGUGUAGCGGUGAAAUGCUUAGAUAUCGUCAAGAACACCGAUAGUGAAGACAGCUUACUAGACUUCAACUGACGCUGAGGCACGAAAAGUGUGGGGAUCAAACAGG
rnacentral:rRNA from 1 species